GCUGGGUGUGGUGGGUCACUCCUGUAGUCCCAGCUACUCAGGAGGCUGAGAUGGGAGGAUCACUUGAGCCUGGGGAGGUUGAAGCUACAGUGAGCCAUGAUCACACCACUACACUUCAACCUGGGCAACAGAGUGAGAUCCUGUCUCAA
rnacentral:SRP_RNA from 1 species